CCUACGGGAGGCAGCAGUGGGGAAUAUUGCACAAUGGGGGAAACCCUGAUGCAGCGACGCCGCGUGAGUGAAGAAGUAUUUCGGUACGUAAAGCUCUAUCAGCAGGGAAGAAAAUGACGGUACCUGACUAAGACGCCCCGGCUAACUACGUGCCAGCCGCCGCGGUAAUACGUAGGGGGCAAGCGUUAUCCGGAUUUACUGGGUGUAAAGGGAGCGUAGACGGCAGCGCAAGUCUGGAGUGAAAUCCCAUGGCUUAACCAUGGAACUGCUUUGGAAACUGUGCAGCUAGAGUGCAGGAGAGGUAAGCGGAAUUCCUAGUGUAGCGGUGAAAUGCGUAGAUAUUAGGAGGAACACCAGUGGCGAAGGCGGCUUACUGGACUGUAACUGACGUUGAGGCUCGAAAGCGUGGGGAGCAAACAGGAUUAGAUACCCGGGUAGUC
rnacentral:rRNA from 1 species